CCCGCCCUGAGCGCUUCCUCCGAAGCACUAUAGCCCAGCCGUGUCUGCAAGCCGAGCCGCGGAACGUGCCCCGACCGAACAGCCCUCCAGAGCCGACCCGAACUCGGGCCGGCAAAGGCAGCCUCUGGGCGGAUGAACCGUUCCGGGCCAGGGAGGCCCGGGAUCCCCGCUCCGCGGUUCACCCGACGGGCUCAGGGCGGUCGGGGCACGCGCCCGGGACCACGUUUCUCCUCCUCUGCUGCUGCGUGACUGCCCCGCACCUGGAGCCCUGCUCGGGGCGGUCUGCACCCUCCAAACACCCCUGCGAGUGCAGGAGGGAUGCCGAGGCAGGAUUUGUCUUGCAGAAUAGCCAGUGCCCCAGACCUGAAAUCACUACUACUUGGAGUACUACAGGUAGCUUUGAAAAUUUUAAAUAAUGUUCCAUGGAUACAUAGUUUCAGUUAUCCAAGAUGAGAAAGCUCUGGAGAUUGUUUGCACAACAAAAGGAGUAUACUUAGCACUACUGAACGUACAUUUGAAAAUGGUUAAGAAGAAAGGAAGAAGAAAUUGGAAGUUUGCUCUCUCAACUUAUUUAUGGAAGAUAAGACCAUUAUCUACAUUGAGUUUGUGAAGAUUCUAUACUACUCCUUUUAUUGUGAGAUCACAAGGAAAAUCCAGCUGUGAUGUGUGUCACCCCAGGAUCGACAGUAAAAAGCAGGGAAAGGGUCCCUCAGCCCUGGCCUGAGCCCUGACUGCAGCCCGGCUCCCUGCCCCCAGCACGUUCUGCACAGCAUCUCUGGCAAGCCAGCUGCUGAUCAGCUCACCGCCCUCCCUCCCCUGUGGGAGAGUACAGGGACACACACAUGAUCAAUCACAUGCGGCUCUCCCUUCCUCGAG
rnacentral:lncRNA from 1 species